CCUACGGGAGGCAGCAGUGGGGGAUAUUGCGCAAUGGGGGGAACUCUGACGCAGCGACGCCGCGUGGGUGAAGAAGGGCUUCGGCUUGUAAAGCCCUGUCGGCAGGGAAGAAAUUGACGGUACCUUAGGAAGAAGCUCCGGCUAACUACGUGCCAGCAGCCGCGGUAAUACGUAGGGAGCAAGCGUUAUCCGGAUUUACUGGGUGUAAAGGGUGCGUAGACGGGAAAGUAAGCUAGUGGUGAAAUCCCUGGGCUUAACCCCGGAACUGCCAUUAGAACUGAGUGGCUUGAGUGCAGGAGGGGAAAGCGGAAUUCCUGGUGUAGCGGUGAAAUGCGUAGAUAUCAGGAGGAACACCGGUGGCGAAGGCGGCCUGCUGGACAGUAACUGACGUUGAGGCCCGAAAGCGUGGGGAGCAAACAGGAUUAGAUACCCUUGUAGUC
rnacentral:rRNA from 1 species